rnacentral:rRNA from 1 species
GGAAAGGCCCUUCGGGGUACUCGAGUGGCGAACGGGUGAGUAACACGUGGGUGAUCUGCCCUGCACUUUGGGAUAAGCCUGGGAAACUGGGUCUAAUACCGAAUAGGACCGCAUGCUUCAUGGUGUGUGGUGGAAAGCUUUUGCGGUGUGGGAUGGGCCCGCGGCCUAUCAGCUUGUUGGUGAGGUAAUGGCUUACCAAGGCGACGACGGGUAGCCGGCCUGAGAGGGUGACCGGCCACACUGGGACUGAGAUACGGCCCAGACUCCUACGGGAGGCAGCAGUGGGGAAUAUUGCACAAUGGGCGCAAGCCUGAUGCAGCGACGCCGCGUGAGGGAUGACGGCCUUCGGGUUGUAAACCUCUUUCGCCAGGGACGAAGCGCAAGUGACGGUACCUGGAGAAGAAGGACCGGCCAACUACGUGCCAGCAGCCGCGGUAAUACGUAGGGUCCGAGCGUUGUCCGGAAUUACUGGGCGUAAAGAGCUCGUAGGUGGUUUGUCGCGUUGUUCGUGAAAACUCACAGCUUAACUGUGGGCGUGCGGGCGAUACGGGCAGACUUGAGUACUGCAGGGGAGACUGGAAUUCCUGGUGUAGCGGUGGAAUGCGCAGAUAUCAGGAGGAACACCGGUGGCGAAGGCGGGUCUCUGGGCAGUAACUGACGCUGAGGAGCGAAAGCGUGGGGAGCGAACAGGAUUAGAUACCCUGGUAGUCCACGCCGUAAACGGUGGGUACUAGGUGUGGGUUUCCUUCCUUGGGAUCCGUGCCGUAGCUAACGCAUUAAGUACCCCGCCUGGGGAGUACGGCCGCAAGGCUAAAACUCAAAGAAAUUGACGGGGGCCCGCACAAGCGGCGGAGCAUGUGGAUUAAUUCGAUGCAACGCGAAGAACCUUACCUGGGUUUGACAUGCACAGGACGCCGGCAGAGAUGUCGGUUCCCUUGUGGCCUGUGUGCAGGUGGUGCAUGGCUGUCGUCAGCUCGUGUCGUGAGAUGUUGGGUUAAGUCCCGCAACGAGCGCAACCCUUGUCUCAUGUUGCCAGCACGUUAUGGUGGGGACUCGUGAGAGACUGCCGGGGUCAACUCGGAGGAAGGUGGGGAUGACGUCAAGUCAUCAUGCCCCUUAUGUCCAGGGCUUCACACAUGCUACAAUGGCCGGUACAAAGGGCUGCGAUGCCGUGAGGUGGAGCGAAUCCUUUCAAAGCCGGUCUCAGUUCGGAUCGGGGUCUGCAACUCGACCCCGUGAAGUCGGAGUCGCUAGUAAUCGCAGAUCAGCAACGCUGCGGUGAAUACGUUCCCGGGCCUUGUACACACCGCCCGUCACGUCAUGAAAGUCGGUAACACCCGAAGCCGGUGGCCUAACCCCUU